GAUACUUGAAAACUGUAGUUAUGGUUUGGAUAAGUCGGAACCUGGAAACCCUUGGUGGGGUGUUACCGUAGACCCUUACCGGGGUAGUCUACGGGCUUAGGACUUGUCACAGGCGCACAAGUAUUGAGGAUUCUGAUGUGCGUGCUGGUGAGCCCAGUCCCCUAGUUGGACGGCUCGUCCCUGGCCAUAUGGUUGUUGAGGAUUCCUCCGUAUGGUUCAGCCAAACGAUCC
rnacentral:lncRNA from 1 species